GACGAACGCUGGCGGCGUGCUUAACACAUGCAAGUCGAACGGAAAGGCCCUGCUUUUGUGGGGUGCUCGAGUGGCGAACGGGUGAGUAACACGUGAGUAACCUGCCCUUGACUUUGGGAUAACUUCAGGAAACUGGGGCUAAUACCGGAUAGGAGCUCCUGCUGCAUGGUGGGGGUUGGAAAGUUUCGGCGGUUGGGGAUGGACUCGCGGCUUAUCAGCUUGUUGGUGGGGUAGUGGCUUACCAAGGCUUUGACGGGUAGCCAGCCUGAGAGGGUGACCGGCCACAUUGGGACUGAGAGACGGCCCAGACUCCUACGGGAGGCAGCAGUGGGGAAUAUUGCACAAUGGGCGGAAGCCUGAUGCAGCAACGCCGCGUGCGGGAUGACGGCCUUCGGGUUGUAAACCGCUUUCGCCUGUGACGAAGCGUGAGUGACGGUAAUGGGUAAAGAAGCACCGGCUAACUACGUG
rnacentral:rRNA from 1 species